rnacentral:lncRNA from 1 species
GAACAUGUGCUAAUACCCCCAUCUUUAUGUUUCUUAACUCAGUUGGUUGUACUCAUGCUAGAUUAACAUGAGUGACCGUUGUACCAAAAAAUAAAAAAUCCAUUCUUACAUUAUGAUGACCAUCACUGAUUGGGCUGCUAGUUAGUUUUGGUUGCAAUCGUGAACCAGAAAUGAAGGAAAAUGUAACUGCCACUUCGAAGAGAGGCCAUGGCUUCUCUAGACCAUGCAUACUUUUGAACAUGUUUGUAGGUUCAUAGGUUCAUUUUGGAGCAGACUAUCAACUCAUAUGCUAUGCCAUGGAAAGGUAAUAAUAUUCAAGCAUGAUGCUCACAUGGGAAGAUGGAGUUGUAUUUUUCAGUCAUCAUCUGUAAAGACUUGUGUACUGGAGGAAGAAAAUUAAAAAGGAAGUUCCAACUAGACCAAUAUUAUUUUUUCCUUUCUAUUCUUCUGCCUGAGUACUGCCCAGCAGAAGUUAGAUUAAUUAUUUUAACAUAAUAUCUAAUAUUAAAAUCGAAUUGUGGGGAAGAAUAGAACUUGUGAACUGAUUCCAAAACAAAUGUAAUGGAAAGCAAUCGAGUAAAGCUUUUGGAGAUCUCAUUUAUUUUUCCUCUUCAUAUCCAUUAGCCAUAGAUCAUGGCUAAUUGUUUCUCAAAAAAAUAUUGCUUAACUAGUUCUGUGAAAACAUCUUGUCAUUUGUCUAAAAUUGAAUUUGGUCGAUGGAAAUGGAUUAAAAGAGAUGGAAGGAGAUUAGAAAGUACCUGAUACAAAGACAAGGAGGACUAGAAGAACAUAGGAUAGCCUGGCCAUCUUCUUCUAUGACAGAUAGAAAUGCUAUGUUGUUCAAGCUUACCUCCGCUUUGGUGAUGAAAUAGAUUAUAAGACUUCAUAUUUAUAAUCACUUGAUGCAUGAUCUGUCAUAGAUUUUUUUGCCAUUUUUGGAUGAUACAUUUAGAGAAAGUGAUCUUUAAGAUUUUUUUUUUUGGGUAAACUUUUAACAUCCAUUGGUUGGAGGUAUAUAAUUUGGCAUGAGAAAAUAAAUGCCAUAUUCGAUUAUCAUAUUUAGUGCGAAAGUGCUAUCAGAUAUUGUAACAUAAAUGAUGGAUCCUCUAUAUAUUUUGAGAUAUUAUCAGAUUACCACAUAAUCUGACAUACACCAAACAAGCAAACCCUUAAGAUUUUUUUGUAUUCUCUAGGAUGUGAUAAUUUCUGGAUGGCAAAGUCAAAGAAGGAAGAAUCUUCAAGAUUUUACUUUCUAGUAAGUAAAUCAUCUAUAUUUUCGCUCUAGAUAUUCAGCAAUCCAAGGAUAUCCAGCAAGCACCUUCUUAUGUUGUCCGUUUCUUCUGGUCCUUACCUUGAUGUGCCGUUACACUUUAGAUUUAGCAUUUAUUGGCGGACAGCGUUAUCAUGAGAGGGAAAAACCAAAUAAAGCGAAUGCCUUGCACCAAAGCCAGCGAGAGAGCGAUUAAAAAAACCAAAUAAAGCGAAAGCGAAGCACCAAAGCGCUCUCGUCUUUUUCGCCACCUCCUCUUCCUCUUCCUCCUCCUCCUCUCUCUCUUUAUCUCUUUCCAAAUGGCCGCCGUGGGAGCCGGGGAGAAGCCAGGGAUACGGUUCCGCCGCGCCGCUGUGGCUGUUCCGGCGGAGGGGGCGAGGGUCUGAGCCUGUGAUGCCGGAGGGAGGCGGCGCUUCUUCUCUCCAGCUGCCGAGGUGCCGGAAAAGAGGUGUUUUGGGGUUUUCUGGUGGGGUAAAGGUUGGUUUUUGCUAGGGGUUUUUGGUAGGAGGAGAUGGCGAUGGUGGUGGCAGGGCAGGGAGUGGGGAAGGAGGCGGGGAAGAUGCAGCAAGGAAUGGAAGCGGGGAAGUAUGUGAGGUUCACGCCGGAGCAGGUGGAGGCGCUCGAGAGGGUCUACAGCGAGUGCCCCAAGCCCAGCUCCAUGAGGCAGCAGCAGCUCAUCCGGGAGUGCCCGAUUCUCGCUAACAUCGAGCCCAAGCAGAUCAAAGUCUGGUUCCAGAACCGCAGGUAAAAAAAUAAAAAAACGAGGCCAGAAAGCCAGGCCAGGUGUGGGAUUUGGUGAAGAAAAAAAAACGGUUUCUUUUUAGAUUUUUAGGUUUUUCCAUUUCUUUUGUUCUUCUUUUUCGUUUGAUUUUUAGUGGAAGAAGGGUAAGGGAUUAGAAAGCAUGGAUCUUUAAGAAAUUGACGAGGAUUUUGAUGCGUUUUCUUUUUUCCCUCUUCGAACUAAAUACCCCAACGGCCACGUUUGUUUUCAGUAGUUCUGUAUCUCCUCUUUGGAGAUCUCAUGAGUCGUCCUGAUCAAUUGCCGAGGAAGGCCCUGCACCCCACCGGACCAAGUCCGGUUGUCCUGCUCUUGCCUUAGGUCCUGCCGGUCCUCGGGUCCUCCGAGUGCCGGCAGGACCUCUUCACUGGCCUUGUGCGCUGACCGGCAGGACCUCUUCACUGGCCUUGUGCGCUCUGGUCACCCUUUUUCAGAUGCCCACCACCUGCUCGAUGAAAACGCCCAAUUAGCCACAGGAACCUCAAAGCCUCGCUACAGGUUGUCCUCGUUUUUAUAUUUUCAUUGGCAAUAAUCCGCCUCACCAAGGAACCCUUAUGUUUUUGAGGCUUUUCUUUCAUUCUCUUACCAAUAUUUUAAUUUGGACGUGAUAAAUUAUAUUGGCUUGAUUCAACUGCUGAACUAUUGGAUGCGUUGGCUGAAGCGUGACUGAUAAAUACGGGACUGCUGUGCUGAAGUCUUAGCAUUUCCUUUUAAUGACAAUUGGUAGCCACUCUUAAUUUAUCUUUUAGCUCUGAGUCUGAGAUAAGAAAUUAUCAAAUCAGAUUAGAAGAAGUCUUAUCUGAAGGUUAAGAAAGUAUUGGCUUUAGAAGCAGGGAUUGGAAGCAAGAAAUGAUCUUUUAUCUGCAAUCUAUGAAUUUCUCUAGCAAUGUACUAAUCUUUAUAUUAUGUCUCAACUAAUCUGGCGGGUCUCACGCUUAAAUCCAUUUCAAACCUGCUGUUGGGAGGCCAUAUAUAAUAUCGAUAUCUAGGGGUUUAUAUGCAAGUUUAUUCAAAAUUGAACUAGUCUUGGCAUGCUGCGUGCGGGUUUUAGCUUGCAUUCGUGAAGUAGACCCUGCAAGUCGCAUGCUGGCUGGCACUAGAUCAAAUUUGGCACAAAUGCAGGGAUUACCUUGCAUAUUUGAAAAGUAGAUCCUGCAGCCUGCGGGAGCUGCGGGACUAGAUCAAAUUUGGCAGAAAGAUCUUAUGUCUAAUAUAUAUCUUUGACAGGGGGUUAGGUGUGAUAAUUCUUUUCUCCAUAGAGUUGCGGGGACUAUAUAGGCUAUAGCUCAAAUUCGCAUGACGGGACUCCUUCUAAGACGUGCUAAUAUUACAUUCAAGUCCCUUCGUUUUUUGGCAAUCUCUUAAACCGCAAACAUAGAUCGACCUGCAAGAGAUGUCUUUAGAAAACUGGGCUCCGUAUGGUUUGGAUUACAUGAGUUUUUAUCCCCACUUUAUCUGGGAUAAAUAGCCAAGUGACCAAAAAGCUUUCAUCUUGGGGAAGUUAUAGCUGAGGCAUCAUCCCGAAUAAGUCACUAAAAUUGUAUUAAAAACUCGGCAAUUGCAGUGCAAGGAGGAGGGGCUACACAAUGAUUAGAUUGUAAGCACUCUGAAAGAAGGUUCAGUCUGAAUUUUAUUCAUAAACGCACAAUCUUUAGUCCACAUCCUCAAAGGUAGACGAUUGCAUAUCUCAACAGAACAGUGAUAACAUUUGCUCAAUUAACAAUUAUAACUGCAUGCACACAUAACAAAGUUAUUUGCAUCAGGAUUUGGGACACAAUAUCCAUUUCCAUGUUUAUACCAUUUUGCGCAAGCCCAAUGGCAGGAUACAUUGAGGCAUUCGUAUUUGUUACUCAUCAAGAAAAUUAAACAUUUCUUCUGAGCAUCCACCUUUGGCACCAUCAUGACAUCAUCUCAGCUUCAAAUAUGUGAAAAAAAUUACAAGUAUCAAUUAAAAACAAAAGACAAAUGUUCAAAGCAUAUAUUAAAAAAUGUAUUAAUGCAUUUUAUUCGAAGCACUCUACUAAUUUUGCUGAAUACCAAAUGCCAUGCCCCCGCCUCGGCCGGGCACGUGAGACACCCAGUGUCCACGUGGAGGCCACAUGAGGGAGGAACACGGAACUCCCUUGCCACAUAUUGUCCGAUUUCGGGGCUCCCACGCGCGCGCACGCGCCGCUCAGACCCCUCUCCGGUUUUGUUUUCCACCCAAAAUUGAUCUGCAGGAUUUAAAGACACCUACCUCAUAUGUUUAGGCUCUAGAACGAGUCUAGCCGAUGUGGGAUCUUUCAUUCACCCACCCUCAGACUAGAGCCGUCCUGGGCUCUGAUACCAAAUGUUAUGCUCCUGCCUCCACGAGGCACGUGCGGUACCCAGUGCCCGCGUGGGGCCACAUGAGGGGGGAACACAGGGCUCCUCUGCCAGAUAUUGUCCGAUUUCAGGGCCUGCACGCACACCGCAUGCACCGCUUAGACCCCUCCUCUGCCAGAUGUAUCCAGGAUACUGUGAUUUCACUGUUGGAAACCGUGAUAUAUGUAUCGGAAGGCAAACAAGACGGCAGAUUGAGUUGCCUCCUUUGCUACCCAUCAUUUCACAAAGGUCUCAUGGACAUGUGCUAAUACCCCCACCUUUAUGUUUCUUAACUCAGUUGGUUGCACGCAUGCUAGAUUAACGUGAGUGACCGUUGUACCAAAAAAAUAAAAAAUCCAUUCUUACAUUAUAAUGACCAUCACUGAUUGGGCUGCUAGUUAGUUUUAGUUGCAAUCGUGAACCAGAAAUGAAGGAAAAUGUAACUGCCACUUCGAAGAGAGGCCAUGGCUUCUCUAGACCUUGCAUACUUUUGAACAUGUUUGUAGGUUCAUAGGUUCAUUUUGGAGCAAACUAUCAACUCAUAUGCUAUGCCAUGGAAAGGUAAUAAUACUCGAGCAUGAUGCUCACAUGGGAAGAUGGAGUUGUAUUUUUCAGUCUGUAAAGGCUUGUGUACUGGAGGAAGAAAAUUAGAAAGGAAGGUCAACUAGACCAAUAUUAUUUUUUCCUUUCUAUUCUUCUGCUUGAGUACUGCCCAGCAGAAGUUAAAUUAAUUAUUUUAACAUAAUAUCUAAUAUUAAAAUCGGAUU